rnacentral:rRNA from 1 species
AACGAACGCUGGCGGCAGGCUUAACACAUGCAAGUCGAACGCCCCGCAAGGGGAGUGGCAGACGGGUGAGUAACACGUGGGAACAUGCCCAAAGGUACGGAAUAUUCUCGGGAAACUGGGANCAAUACCGUAUGUGACCCGAAAGGGGAAAGAUUUAUCGCCUUUGGAUUGGCCCGNGUCGGAUUAGCUAGUUGGUGGGGUAAAAGCCUACCAAGGCGACGAUCCGUAGCUGGUCUGAGAGGAC